UCGCCAGACUCCUACGGGAGGCAGCAGUCGGGAAUAUUGCGCAAUGGAGGAAACUCUGACGCAGUGACGCCGCGUAUAGGAAGAAGGUUUUCGGAUUGUAAACUAUUGUCGUUAGGGAAGAUAAAAGACAGUACCUAAGGAGGAAGCUCCGGCUAACUACGUGCCAGCAGCCGCGGUAAUACGUAGGGAGCAAGCGUUAUCCGGAUUUACUGGGUGUAAAGGGCGUGUAGGCGGGACUGCAAGUCAGAUGUGAAAAUUAUGGGCUCAACCCAUAACCUGCAUUUGAAGCUGUAGUUCUUGAGUGAUGGAGAGGUAGGCGGAAUUCCGUGUGUAGCGGUGAAAUGCGUAGAUAUACGGAGGAACGCCAGUGGCGAAGGCGGCCUGCUGGACAUUAACUGACGCUGAGGCGCGAAAGCGUGGGGAGCAAACAGGAUUAGAUACCCUCGUAA
rnacentral:rRNA from 1 species